rnacentral:rRNA from 1 species
CCUACGGGUGGCAGCAGUGGGGAAUAUUGCACAAUGGAGGGAACUCUGAUGCAGCGACGCCGCGUGAGUGAAGAAGUUAUUCGGUAUGUAAAGCUCUAUCAGCAGGGAAGAAAAUGACGGUAUCUGACUAAUAAUCCCCGGCUAACUCCGUGCCAGCAGCCGCGGUAAUACGUAGGGGGCAAGCGUUACCCGGAAUUACUGGGCGUAAAGGGAGCGUAGACGGGGCAGCAAGUCUGAUGUGAAAGGUUGGGGCCCAACCCCGGGACUGCAUUUGAAACUGUUAAACUGGAGUACGGGAGAGGUAAGCGGAAUUCCUGGUGUAGCGGUGAAAUGCGUAGAGAUUAAGAGGAACACCAGUGGCGAAGGCGACUUGCUGGACUGUAACUGACGUUGAGGCGCGAAAGCGUGGGGAGCAAACAGGAUUAGAUACCCGGGUAGUC